AUGAGUCUAUUAAACACUUAUUUUUUUGAGUGCAAAAUCGCUCGUGCAGUUUGGGUCAUAGUUUAAGUAGCUUCAAAUCUAUACCCCUCACGUAGUGCACGUAACAUGUUCAGCAAUUGGUUGUGGGGUAUUGAUAAACAAUUUUCUACAUGUAUUCUUGUGGGGGCGGCUGCCUUAUGCUGGGCAAUGUGGCUUACCAGGAAUGAUGUGGUUUUUAAUAAUAAAUAUGGUUCUUCUCCAAUGCAGGUUAUUUAUGCAUGUACGCGAUGGCUCCGUACUUGGUCUAUCAUGCAAAAGUCAGAGGACAAAGACCUUUUUAUGAUGGCGUCUAUAUGGUUGGAGCGCAUGGCCUGGGAGGUUUUCUCCCUCCAUGGAUGGCGGUGUAAUCUUCGUAUAGGAUCUGCCCCACCCAAGGUUGGAUUGAUUUAUUUUUGCUGUAAAACUAUGUUUAUUUUUCGGUUGUUUGGACUUGUUGGUUGUGUGCAUCAUGUUAUGCAGAGGCUGAGUAUUCUUUAG
rnacentral:rRNA from 1 species